UGUCAUGUGAUGUGUGCCGUGCGAACAAGUCGAGAACAACGGACGCGGGACAAUUCCCCGGUCGGUUGCAUUGCAUUUAAAUUCUUAGCGAUCAUUUGGGGUUCGAACUACGACUUGCUGCUUGUGGUAACCCGGUAUUCCUGCGAUGCCUUCGCGCCGAAGCAGGCGACCAUGCCGUUUCAGAAUACGGACAUCCAUGGCGUACGCCGCGGGAGGUGCACCGACGGACACUGCGACUGCCCAGAGUAUAUAUGUGAGACCAACGAAGCGGGUAUGCCGAAAAGAAUAUUGUGCUGCUACUGCGAGCAUGCUCGGGGAAAGCACUCUGGACUUACUACAGGAUUGACAGUGCGCGCGCGGUGCUAACUGUUCUGAAACAAAUUUCGCAUGAAAGUGUAAGUGAAAGUAAGAUUGACUGUCUGGGUACUUUGAACAUUUUGUGUAUUUGAAUGUAUCUAUCCUGAUGUAUGUAUCUUGUAAGCAUUCAAAAAUACAUAUUUCUGGCACUAACCUUGA